GGGUUUGUGGUCUAGUUGGUUAUGACACCGCCUUGACAUGGCGGAGAUCCCCAGUUCGAAUCUGGGCAAACCCA
rnacentral:tRNA from 1 species